rnacentral:misc_RNA from 1 species
AAGUCGUAACAAGGUUUCCGUAGGUGAACCUGCGGAAGGAUCAUUAAUAAUCUUCAACUUUAGCCUUUACAAGCUAUACUGAAAUUAUCCUUUCAACAACCUGUGAACUUAUUGAAAAGCACUCUGCUUAUCUCUAGCCCUCUUGCCUUCUUCUCCUUGCGAGAGUGGGCAGGUUUAUGCUAGAGUGUAGCACUUUUUCAACACCAUUUACCAUAUUUAAACCAUGUCAAGUCUGAUCAUAAAGUGUGAAAAGCAUAUUUGCCCUUGGGCAAUAGUUUAAGCAUACUUGUCUUUUUAAGUAAAGCAAGAACCUAAAACAACUUUUAACAAUGGAUCUCUUGGCUCCU